AGCCGAAGUCAUUUGGGCGAGACAUCCACCUCCCCGCGCAGAGGGAAGUGACACUCGAAUCACUAUCUCUUAAAUGAGAGUCCACCACAUCACAUUCUUAUCGUAGCACAGUACGAAAAACUCAAACAUGACCGACGACAGUACAAGGAAAUAACAUAGUUUCAUGUCCACAUCAUAACUUAGUACACAUUCUCAAUAACAGGCAUUGCUCAACACGUCUUUCUCAUCACCUUUCAUACAUGGUCUCAUUUACUCACCAAUCACAAACCAAUACACAUUGUCACUAAUAUGUGUUACAGAACCAACCAUCAAUUUAACACAAUCUCAAUACUUUUCACUCGUAAUCUCAAUGAUAAACAUCAACUCAUCAAACACAAGAUUCUACUACACCAUAUAACAUACGACUUCAUAUACAACACCACAACAUGAUAAAAACAUAUUACUACAUCAAAAAAAUCAUCACAGGAACAUAUAAAAUUACAACGAUAAAAUAUCACCUCCCAAAACCCUACACGCAUGAUAUAAUUCUAUGCACAAAUAAAGAACAAAUAUUGUAUCACAUCACAAAACAUUCUCAUGUAACAUAAAAACACUUAUCAAAAUCCUAAAUCAACCAUGUGUUAAAAUAUAACCGGUUCCUCCCCUUACCUUAGCUUUCAAAGAUUCCCUACGAUUUUCGACGCAGGAAUAUUGAUUCUCAUGCUUCCUCUCUCGGCUUGGUGUAGUGCAUCUCUCUCCUUCUCUAUCAACACUCUCUUUUCACACAAAACUAGGGUUGGCUCUCAUUUUCCCUCACCAGUGCUGAUAUGGGUUUUUUAAAUAGAUUUUUAAACACCUCCCAUACCGCCUAAAAAUAACUUAAAAUAUCUCCGUAUCUCUUUCCAUUUUUUUUAUUCCAAAAUAUCCUUCUUGAUAUUCUCCUUAAUUAUGUUAUAAUCUCCCCCAUAAAAACAUCCUUAAAUAUCGUCAUCCUANUAUCAUUUUCUAUUUCUCCUUAUUUUAUUACUUAUUUAUUUAUAACCCAAAACCUAACCCUUAAUUCACUGCAUACGCCAUACCAACCAAAACUAAGAAAUAAAAAGAAAAUAAAUCCUAACUAGUUCAGGAAUAAAAACAAAGCUAAGGCACUUUUAACUUUUCU
rnacentral:lncRNA from 1 species